UGUAGGAGUGUAUGUUUACUAAGAGUAUGGCGUUGCAGGGGGCGUGGCCAAAUGGGUGGCACGGGGUGGCAGCUGCCUCCCGCCCCCGCCCCCGAAUUGAUCAAAUUAUCCACUGAGAUCAAAUAUGCAGAUUAUAAUCGCGUGCAACCCAUGUUUAUUAAAUAAUCAUUGUAUUAUUAGAGGCAUUUUGAUCGAAUUGCAUUAAUGUCAUAAUGCAGUUAUUUAUUUUACACCAAGUGAUAAGUAAGUGCAAAAGUUUACACCCCCUAUGCUUUCCGGGUCGGGGGAAAAAGAAAGAUGAUGUACCUCCGCUCAUUCAGUUAUCGAAUUGUAAAAUGAGAAAUGAAAUGGGGACGUAUCCCAAAACAAGACAAUAAACCAACGUAUAAGAUCUAAAAAGUACAGAAAGAAUGCCGUCCAACUGCCUGUUAGUCUAAAGACAUGAGUCUGUGAUGAUGUUAGUAAGAUAAACGAUGGGCAAAUAUUUAUAUCACAUUCAGAAAGGAAGAUGGAAACUUUUUAAUAUCUGAUAUCGUUUUAGGGUUUGUUUGUUUGUUUUUGCUAUUAAUAUAACAUACACUAUCUGACCAUUUUGUUAAUAACACCAAAGGAACAUUUGUGACAAUCAACACUCCAAAUGUCACGUUGUUGAUUGCAUCGAUGCAUCUUUUGUAAACAUGCCUACUCGCAUCUCACAGCGGUGACGCACACGUUCCCAGAAGCAAGAUUUUCCAGUUUGCGCACUGCUGAUGAGUAAUCCUGAUCGAGCUGGAAGUAGAUUUUUGAAGAAUUAUUACAGGGCUGUUAGAUUAUUUUUGUUUGGAUAGAUUGCUCUAACUCAUUAGACUCCAAAGCUAGCAGGAAAGCACAUAAUACGUCCCGAAGAAUGCCGAUACAAACAUACGAUCAUCUACAUGGGUGACAUGAACGUUAUCAAAUGCUAGAUAUAUUAAUGUUAGCUAGCACUAUUUGCAAAUUGUACAGUUACUAAGUAUUAUUCGCAGAAAGUUUACGAUUGCUAAGCACUACUCGUAGAGUUUACAGUAGCUAGAUUUAUAGAUGCUCAGCCCUAUUUGUAAAGUUUUACACUCACUAAGCUCUUUGUAAAGUUUGCUGGUGCAGAAUGUAUUAGGUGAUACGCAUUAUUCAUAAAGUUUCCAGUCAUUAUAAGCAUUAUUUGUCAAAUUUACUCACUAAGUUUUGUACUCAGUAAGUCUUAUUCUAAAAUUGUUAAAUUGUUGUUAAACGUUAUUCGUAAAGUUUACGGUCGCUAAAUUUUGUAGUCAGUAUUAUUCACACAGUUUACAGUUGUUAAACACCGUAAAGUUUACGGUCGCAAAAUUUUGUAUUCAGUAAGUAUUAUUCACACAGUUUACGGUCAGUAAAUUUUGUAGUCGGUAGGUAUUAUUCACACAGUUUACUGUUGUUAAACACCGUAAAGUUUACGGUCAGUAAAUUUUGUAUUCAGUAAGUAUUAUUGGCAAAGUUUACAGUUGUUAAACACUUUGUAAAGUUU
ensembl:lncRNA